UGCUACCGAUUAUGGAUGGACCCGCGUCUGAUUAGCUAGUUGGUGGGGUAAAGGCCUACCAAGGCGACGAUCAGUAGCCGGCCUGAGAGGGUGAACGGCCACACUGGGACUGAGACACGGCCCAGACUCCUACGGGAGGCAGCAGUGGGGAAUCUUCCGCAAUGGACGAAAGUCUGACGGAGCAACGCCGCGUGUAUGAUGAAGGUCUUCGGAUUGUAAAGUACUGUCUUUGGGGAAGAAUGAUUGGCUUGAAAAUAUUGAGUCAAUAUGACGGUACCCAAGGAGGAAGCCCCGGCUAACUACGUGCCAGCAGCCGCGGUAAUACGUAGGGGGCAAGCGUUGUCCGGAAUUAUUGGGCGUAAAGGGCGCGUAGGCGGAUAGUUAAGUCCGGUGUGAAAGAUCAGGGCUCAACCCUGAGAGUGCAUCGGAAACUGGUUAUCUUGAGGACAGGAGAGGGAAGUGGAAUUCCACGUGUAGCGGUGAAAUGCGUAGAUAUGUGGAGGAACACCAGUGGCGAAGGCGACUUUCUGGACUGUAACUGACGCUGAGGCGCGAAAGCGUGGGGAGCAAACAGGAUUAGAUACCCUGGUAGUCCACGCUGUAAACGAUGAGUGCUAGGUGUAGAGGGUAUCGACCCCUUCUGUG
rnacentral:rRNA from 1 species